rnacentral:rRNA from 1 species
CCUACGGGAGGCUGCAGUGGGGAAUAUUGGACAAUGGGGGGAACCCUGAUCCAGCCAUGCCGCGUGUGUGAAGAAGACCCUCGGGUUGUAAAGCACUUUCAGUGAGGAAGAACGCCUGGUGGUUAAUACCCAUCAGGAAAGACAUCACUCACAGAAGAAGCACCGGCUAACUCCGUGCCAGCAGCCGCGGUAAUACGGAGGGUGCGAGCGUUAAUCGGAAUUACUGGGCGUAAAGCGCGCGUAGGUGGCUUGAUAAGCCGGUUGUGAAAGCCCCGGGCUCAACCUGGGAACGGCAUCCGGAACUGUCAAGCUAGAGUGCAGGAGAGGAAGGUAGAAUUCCCGGUGUAGCGGUGAAAUGCGUAGAGAUCGGGAGGAAUACCAGUGGCGAAGGCGGCCUUCUGGACUGACACUGACACUGAGGUGCGAAAGCGUGGGUAGCAAACAGGAUUAGAUACCCUUGUAGUC